rnacentral:rRNA from 1 species
UACGUAGGGGGCAAGCGUUGUCCGGAUUUAUUGGGCGUAAAGAGCGUGUAGGCGGCCUGAAAGGUCAGCUGUGAAAACUCGAGGCUCAACCUCGAGACGUCGGUUGAAACCAUCUGGCUAGAGUCCGGAAGAGGAGUGUGGAAUUCCUGGUGUAGCGGUGAAAUGCGUAGAUAUCGGAAGGAACACCAGUGGCGAAAGCGGCUUCCUGGUCCAGCACCGACGUUCAGGCACGAAAGCGUGGGGAGCAAACAGG